UUUAGCAUCCUUUCUUCUAUCCUUUUAGAGAGAGAGAGAGAGAGAGCUGUAAUCUCCUCCGGCGAACUUCCGGCAAACCUCCGGUGCUGAACCUUGUAGUCGUAGUUGCAAGUUUUCUUCACCUCAUCUUAUCACUCUUCCAAACUCUAGGAGGUUUUGGAGCUUGGAUUUCAGAUGGUUUCUCCUUUCACCUCUCUUCACUUCUCUCUUUUCUGACCAUCGAAAUUGUUUUAGGGAGUGGCAUUGGAUCUCAUUUUUGGGCGUAAGCUAAUAUCAGAUCAAAAGUGAUAGAUCGGCGUGGAUCUUGAAAGACUGCCUGUAGAUGUUGCUUGUCUUGUUGUGAAAUUGUAGUUCUUGUCAUUGUCUAUCACUAUGUUCCUGUAUUUUAUAUUUCUGGACUUCUUGUAUCUUUGCAUUGUAUACACUGUAAAGUCUGUAAUCUUGUAACCCAGUUGGUUUGUUAUAGUUUUGUUUGUCCUAAACCAGGUCCUGAGGCCUUGCAGGUCUACUUGGUUCACGCCCUGUGGAUCUGCGGUCGUUUGUCUGCGCACCGGGUCCAGCGAGCCUGGUUCGGGGCGUGACAACAUGUAAAAAGCACCUGAUAUCAAAUAGUUGACAUAUUGUGGCAUUUAUCAUUCAAAGCUAAGAAUGCAUAUAUUCAGAAAUAAAAUGAUAUUUUCAACAAA